GGAGGGGUGGGGAAAAGAUUAAUUCAAAUUAAUCUCUCAUUUACCUUAUCUGCACUUAUCUAAUCCUGCUGGGAAAUAAGUAGAAAUGUUCAACAAGAAAGAGCCAAUGGACGAGCGCCACGAAGCACCACAUACCGCUGGCAGCUGACCGAACUUCAGAACCGAUGACUAUUAUUACCUGUCAUGUUUCUAAGUUAUCGGACACAUAAAGAUGGUGUGAUGAGAACAUGAAAUGUCUGUGAUGGCCCUAAAGUUGGGGAUAUAUUUGGGCUUGCUGUUUGCUUAUUUGUUUGUUCCUGAUGGUUUCUGAUUUUUGUUUUUCUGAGAUGGGGUCUCAGGUAUGUAGCUCUGGCUAGCCUGGGACUUUGAACUUGCAGAGAUCCUUUUGCCUCCGACUCCCAAGUACUGGGGUGAGAACUGUGAAUCACUAUGCCUGACUCCGUUGUUUUGGUUUUUGUUUUUUAAUGUUGUGAUGAUAUUUUGAACAAAUAAAAUUUGCUUGAAGAUCAGAGGACAGAACAAGCCACUAGAUUAAGCACAGAGGCCAGGCAGUGGUGGCACACACACCUUUAAUCCCAGCAGAGGAUUUCUGUGAGUUCAAGGCCACACUGGGUUACAAAUUAAUCCAAUCUAAAAGAGAAACAGAGCCAGGCAGUGCUGACACAGGUCUUUUAAUCCCAGCACUAGGAAGCUUGAGACAGGAAGUGAUAUGGCUGGGCAGACAAAGGAAUAUAAGGUGGGAGGACUUAUAAGAGGACUCACUCUUCCGGGUUUAACGUCUUAUGUCAUCAGCGGGCGACUACGUGCCAGCCUUAAUUAUCUGGACAAAGACCCCCCUACCCUCCCUUUUCUGUUUCCUCUCUGCUCUCUGCUCUGCCUCACUCCCCCCGCUCCACCAGGCCUGGCUUCCCCCUCCUAUCCCCUCUUCUUUCUAAUAAAGCCCAUUCUAACUCUGGUAACCAUGGCCUGUGACUCUUCAGCCGACCAACCAGCGCCAUUCAUCCUUUCAGACAGGAACUCGCGCUCUGUCAGGCUGAAGGGUUGGUGAGCCUGUAGGUAUCAGCGCUGCUUAAUGAAUAACACUGCACCGCUGCUGCAUUAAAACCCACACUGGUGCUGAGACAAAGCAGGCUCUCCCAGGGCUCUGCAUCCGGGACCCUGUACCGAGGUUUCUUCCAUCUACGACUGCCAGCUUUUUUCAUUUACCCGGCCGCCAGACUGCUCUGCACAACACCAGCAGUCCAGAUUGUUCCAUAGAAUCCACCUGGACAGGCCAGCGAGCUCCAGAGCCAGCUUGAAUUCACCUGGACAGCACCUUGUCAGACGGCUCCAGAGCAGCAGACAACAAUCCUCCAGGACACCCUGCUACCUCAGAAGCCUCCUUCCCUACCCACUCCCAAGAGCCAAAUGAUGCCCACCAAGUCAGGUAGAAGCAGCUUUCCGGAGACACAGCGCCCCUAUUCCUGUUCACCCACCUUUUUUUAUAAUAAGCAAAGAAUCUGGAAUGUUGGAAUUCCUGGCCACUCCCCUAGCUACAUGACCGUACAUGCGCAGUUCAGUAAUCAAGCAAGGGGCCUUACAUCUUACAUAAUACGUGAUCGUGUAAUUCGCAUGCAGCGUGAUCAUGCAAUCUAUGUGUAUGCAUGGUAGCUCCAUAAGUCCACAUGCGCAUGUGCAGGGGAAUCCAUAAGAAGCGGAUCAGACUCCUCCCUCUUCUUCUCCUUCCCACCUUCUCUCUCUGCACGUGUCUUCCACAGGCCUGGUCACACUCCCUUCUGUCCCUCUCUUCUAAUAAACUCUGACAGUGGGUUUUGUUGUGUCUCCUGGACUUUCUCGUACGUAACAUCGCCACUUAAUGAAUAACAUUGCACCACCGCAUUAAAACAAACAGUAGCCACAGAGAAGGUGUUCCUGUAAAUAACCACUCACACAUGCUACUGGUAAGCAACCCUGAUGAAAUGCUGAAGUCCCCUCCCCACUUGCGGGCCACAAGAAUAUAUUAUAGAGACUCAGCUGUGUAUUAAAGCUAUACUUUGACUGGCCAAGGGUCUGUCAAAAGGCAAGCCAUUUAUUAUGAAUAUUUGGUGUUAUCCAGCUUUUAAUAUUUCAGCCCGUCUUCUGCUAUGAGAUUUUUGUGUACCCCAAUACUAUAGACCAUUUGGCAAACAGCUAAGUUUCUCAGAAGCUGAACCUCUAGGUAACUAACUCCCCCGCUGUGCCGAGGAGACUAACAGGCUACUAGAUGUAUAGUUUUGUUUACUGUGCAAAUCAAGUUCAGAUCUUCCAUUGCCCCAGAGCAACUCCUUAGAUCAAAGGGGUUUCCUCUUACUAGCUGCUUCAAGCUGUGAUGCAGAUUGACUAGCUGUCAGUACUCCUCCCCCGCCCUGUCAGGAAACUGGUGCAGAGAAAAACAGUGGCAGUUUUAUUUUUAGUGACAUAGAUUUCUUUACCCUAUCACCUGUAAGUUUAUAGUUUGAGCACAUUUAUGAUAGACUCAUAAUGUUUUCACCUACCCACAGUAAGGAUAUAUUCCUAGCACAUAAAUUCCUUAUCUGAUUUAUUCCAGCUCCUAUCUAACUCUGCCUUUAUUCUCUUCCCCUUUUCGGGUUGCAAAUGAAGUUGCCAGGAAGCUUCUGGUGUGGACCUUGCAAUUCUUAUGCUGUAUUGUAAACAUGAAGGUGUUGCUGUCUUGGGAAAGAUAUAGACGAGUCCCUACAGAAGUGGGCAGAAUUUUGGACAGAAGAGCUCCGUGUAUCUAGAUUCAUUCCGGCACCACUGGUAGUGUCUCUUCUGGACCCCUGGGAAGUGUAAUAUUAAGGCUGGUCCUAUAAUAUUAUACAAAACACCACCACCACCACCACCCCCCCCCCAAAAAAAAGCAAGUCAUGAAAGUAGAAGAGGAACUAGUUGGGAAGAGGAAGGAGAUUAGUGGGAAGAGGAUGACGGAGGGUAAGGGGUGGGGUAUACAUUCAAACUGCCUUAUAUACGUGUAUGAAAAUGUAAAUUGGUACUGAACCCCUGGCAUGCAGGAUGCAGAUGCAAGAGGACUACCAGAGCUAGAGGCAAGCACAGUCCACACAGCAGGUUUCAGGCCAUCAAAACCAAGCUUGUGUUUGCAGACCUAGGGCAGAUGUGGAGGCUGGAAGACAACCUGUAGGAGCUGGUUCUUUCCUUUCACCACGUGGGUUCCAGAGAUGGAAAGGAGGACACCCAGUUGAGCAGCAAGCACCUUGACCGACCAUGCCAUCUCAACAGCAGCAUUCUAUGCUUUACUUCUCUGAGACAGCAUCUUGUUAGGCAGCUUGGGCUUGAUUUGAACUCACAGUGAUCAUCCUGCUUCAGCCUCUCAUGUACCAGAAUUAUAUGCAUAUGUUAUCAAAUCCAGCUCAAAACUAAUUAAUUUAGGGGUUAAGCAGAUGGCUCAAUGAUUAAGAACAUAUGUUGUUCAUGUAGAGAACCCAGGUUCAGUUCUUAGAACCCACAUGGCAGUUUACAACUGUCUUUAACUCCAGUUUCACGGGAUCUGACAUCUUCUGACCUCUUCAGGAACCAGACACACACAUGGUGCGAUACAUACAUGUAGGCAAAACAUAAAAAUUUUCAAGUCUUACCAAAACAGCUUAUACAAAAACUUGGGCCAGGUAGUGGUGGCACAUGCCUUUAAUAAAUGCCAGUAUUCAGGGGGUAGAGACAGUCAGAUCUCUACAAAGUGACUUCUAGAACAGCCAGGGCUACACAGAGAAACCCUGUCUCAAAAAAUAAAAAAAUUUUUUGGUAUGAGAACUAGAAUCCAGAGCUUUGAGCUUUCAAAGCAAGGGCUUGACCCUGAGCUGUAACAAUGAUUUAGCUUUUAAAGCAGCACCAUAGUGUUUUCCAUUGUGACUUCCACUUUAUAUUGCCACAGUGUACAACUGUUCAAUUCCAAUUAGCAAUAUUUGUUAUUUUGGGGGAUUUUGCUUGUUUCUUCUCCUUUUGGGGGAGAGGGUUCAAGACAGGGUUUCUCUGUGUAUCCCUGGCUGUCCUGGAACUCUGCAGAUGAGGCUGGCCUUGAACUCCGCCUGCCUCUGCCUUCAGAGUGCUGGGAUUAAAGGCGUGCACCACCACCACCACCACCCCACCACCGGCUUUUGCUUCUUUCUGAGGCAGGAUCUCACUAUGUGGCCCUGGAUACUGGGUUCCCUCUACCCACUGAAGGCUGGUGGACCCAGCCUCCAGACUUAGCUCCUAUUUUGUUUUGGUUUUGAUAGUGGCCAUUGGGACAGAUAUAAAUGACAUCUCAGUACAGUUUUGACUUGUAUAUAUCCUAAUGAGCAGGGAUGUUGAUUUUUCAUAUGCUUGUUGGCCAUUUGUAUCUUUUUUUUGAGAAAUGUCUAUCCAUGAC